UUCUCUAGCAAUUAUAUUCCCUGCUUGCUAACAAAUUAAUUACACAAUGAUGGGCACUUCAAUCAUGUAUAAUUCUCACUUUAAUUUGUAACUAUCUUUUUUCUUUUGACAACUUAACUAUACAAAGCUUGAAUUUGCAAGCUGAGAUCCCCAGAGAAAAUUUUUUGCACUCUGAAAACCAUUUCCAGGUUAAGAAAUUCCAUGUUUAAGCCAGCUUUUUCUCUUUUGUUGGUCCUCUUGGGAUCUUGUCAAGAAAUUUGGAACUAAAACUUUCUAACAAAUUCAUCAUGUCUUGGCUGCUUCUGCCAGCAAAAUGAUCCGCCUGAUGUUCAUAUCGCUCAUACAAGGCUGGCACUGUUACGAGGCACAGAAACACAAUAUAUAAGAGAGUCAGAGUGUCGCAAAGAGACCCAAAAGCUGACAAUAUCCAGAGACAAGCUAUCGUCACAAAGAAAGUUAUUAGAUCGUUCCCACUUGAAAUAUAAUAUAAAUUGGAUAGUAAUCGGUUGAUUUGCUCAAAGAAGAAUCUCAGUGUGGAUUCUGGCAACUCCAUGUCAUCAAUAUCAGGAGGAUUUCUCUUGAUGAAUCCUGCGGCUGCGGUGUUAGACCAAAUGAAGAAGAUGGCCAUAAAAAGCAUGAGCAAAUGGCAAAGAAGAGUAACAAAAUGGUACUCCACAACUUCAAAAAGGAACCAUAUAACUGUGAAACCAAUUAGGAUUCCUGCUGAUAUAUACUUGUUCUUCCACAGCAAUAUGUCAGCAACACGCCCUCCUCCAAGGAUGGCAUGAAGAGACCUUCGACUGCCAAACAAUUUUCUUGAAGAUGCAGGCUGGUUGUCAUCAGAAUCAGAAUCAUAUAUUCCCCAAGUCGGCAUGAUCACUAUAGAUGUCCGAUGCUAU
rnacentral:misc_RNA from 1 species